rnacentral:rRNA from 2 species
GCAUUGCGACGGCCUACCAUGCGUGUCGAGCGGAUGAAUUGAGCUUGCUCUCUGAUUCAGCGGCGGACGGGUGAGUAAUGCCUAGGAAUCUGCCUGGUAGUGGGGGACAACGUUUCGAAAGGAACGCUAAUACCGCAUACGUCCUACGGGAGAAAGCAGGGGACCUUCGGGCCUUGCGCUAUCAGAUGAGCCUAGGUCGGAUUAGCUAGUUGGUGAGGUAAUGGCUCACCAAGGCGACGAUCCGUAACUGGUCUGAGAGGAUGAUCAGUCACACUGGAACUGAGACACGGUCCAGACUCCUACGGGAGGCAGCAGUGGGGAAUAUUGGACAAUGGGCGAAAGCCUGAUCCAGCCAUGCCGCGUGUGUGAAGAAGGUCUUCGGAUUGUAAAGCACUUUAAGUUGGGAGGAAGGGCAGUAAGUUAAUACCUUGCUGUUUUGACGUUACCGACAGAAUAAGCACCGGCUAACUUCGUGCCAGCAGCCGCGGUAAUACGAAGGGUGCAAGCGUUAAUCGGAAUUACUGGGCGUAAAGCGCGCGUAGGUGGUUUGUUAAGUUGGAUGUGAAAGCCCCGGGCUCAACCUGGGAACUGCAUCCAAAACUGGCAAGCUAGAGUAUGGCAGAGGGUGGUGGAAUUUCCUGUGUAGCGGUGAAAUGCGUAGAUAUAGGAAGGAACACCAGUGGCGAAGGCGACCACCUGGGCUAAUACUGACACUGAGGUGCGAAAGCGUGGGGAGCAAACAGGAUUAG